rnacentral:rRNA from 1 species
UGGGGAAUUUUGGACAAUGGGCGAAAGCCUGAUCCAGCAAUGCCGCGUGUGUGAAGAAGGCCUUCGGGUUGUAAAGCACUUUUGUCCGGAAAGAAAUCCUUGGCUCUAAUACAGUCGGGGGAUGACGGUACCGGAAGAAUAAGCACCGGCUAACUACGUGCCAGCAGCCGCGGUAAUACGUAGGGUGCAAGCGUUAAUCGGAAUUACUGGGCGUAAAGCGUGCGCAGGCGGUUUGCUAAGACCGAUGUGAAAUCCCCGGGCUCAACCUGGGAACUGCAUUGGUGACUGGCAGGCUAGAGUAUGGCAGAGGGGGGUAGAAUUCCACGUGUAGCAGUGAAAUGCGUAGAGAUGUGGAGGAAUACCGAUGGCGAAGGCAGCCCCCUGGGCCAAUACUGACGCUCAUGCACGAAAGCGUGGGGAGCAAAACAGGAUUAGAUACCCCUGGUAGUCCACGCCCUAAACGAUGUCAACUAGUUGUUGGGGGAUUCAUUUCCUUAGUAACGUAGCUAACGCGUGAAGUUGACCGCCUGGGGAGUACGGUCGCAAGAUUAAAACUCAAAUGAAUUGACGGGGUCAUAGCUGUUUCCU